GGCUGAACACCACCCUGCCAGUAGGCAGUGGUGAGUGAUGGCCUUGUUUCUCUUUGCUUGUGUGCACAGCUCUUGCUUUACCUAUUAAACUGCCUUCAUCUCAACCCACAAGUUUUCCCACCUUUACACUUCUGACUCCCCCCCCAUCCCACCGUGGGGAAUUGAGCAAGCAGCUGUGUGGGGCUUAGCUGCUGACUGAAGUCAAACCACAACAGCUGACCAGGUUGUUUGACAUCCAUGGAGCUAAACAAAAACCCCUUUACCUAUUCUGUCAAUUCAGAUGUACAACGAGAUACUACAACAGUUAUUUUCUAGAGAGUGGAUCUCCACUGCAGAUUUGGAACCCACAGUUUACUGUUCAUGUCCUCAGUACAAGAAAUCUCACUUUUAGGAAUCCCAUUAUAGAGAAGCAACAGGUUUAGGUGUUCCAGCCCUACAGCAGCUUUGGAGCCUGGUUCUUCCCUCACAGAGACAUCGCUCUGGCCUUGCAGAUUUUCAGGAAAGGUUCCUUCAUAGAAAAGUCUCCAUUUUAAGUUUACAAUAGUCACAUUUUGAACAGUCUCAGAUUUGUUGGAGUUCCAUCCAAGGCAACUCUCAGGUAUAUAUCAGAGCAGAAGCCCUGAUUCUCUGUAAAUAAACAUCAUAUA